UUUUGAACCAUACCAUUUCAAAGGCAUAGAGGAGGAUAUAAAGAAGGAUGAAUUCUUUCCACAAGACAUGUAUACAAGAGUUUCUUCUCAUAGAAGCAUGGAGGAGAGGCAACAUUAUCAGUGGCAGCAACAAUGCUCUUCACCAAUAGAAGCGUGGGAGUAUGAUCAACAACUUUGUCAACAAACAGCUGAUGUGACGGAACAAGUCAAAAACUUGAAUGAAAAGUUCGACAAAUUUCUAGAGAGGUGUGAUUCUAAGAGAUAUGAAGUUACCUUCAGGAAUUUGGAGACCCAAAUUGAUGAGGUUGUUGAUGAGGAGAAGGUGGAGAGAGAAGUGGAAAAAAUAGAAGAGGAGAAAAUAGAGGAAGAUGAAGCAGAAAGGUUAAGUGAGGGAGAGAAAGAUGAGGAGAAAUAAAAAACAAUGGUUGAGAAAAAAAGAAAAAAUAAGAAAAUAAGAAAAAAGAAAAAAAGAAAAUGGAAAAAGGAGAAGGUUGAGAAAAAGAGGAAGAGAGGAAAGAAGAAAAUAUCAUAUGAAAAGCCUUUUCCUCAUAAAAAAGAAAAAUCAUAGGAAGGAAAAGAAGUUCAAGCACUGUGUGGAGAUCUUCAAGAAAUUGGAGAUCAAAAUUCCUAUGAUUGAAACAUGGAAACCGGUGCUUGGUUUGAUCAACUUUUUGAAGAGAUUCAGCAGGAAGAAGAAAAAGAAGAAAAUAGCAAGCAAAAGGGAGUAUCAACACCUACUGAUAGGCGUUUGAACUCUAUCGGGUCAAGCUAAUGACGUUAAAAGAGCGCAUAUUGGGAGACAACCCAGUUUCUGAAUUUUUUUUCUUUUUUUAUUUUAUCUUUUAUUUCGUUUUGAUUUGAUUUGAUUUUAAUUUAAUUUAUUUUAUUUUAUUUU
rnacentral:lncRNA from 1 species